rnacentral:rRNA from 1 species
UACGAAGGGGGCUAGCGUUGCUCGGAAUCACUGGGCGUAAAGCGCACGUAGGCGGAUUGUUAAGUCAGGGGUGAAAUCCUGGAGCUCAACUCCAGAACUGCCUUUGAUACUGGUGAGCUUGAGUCCGGAAGAGGUGAGUGGAACUGCGAGUGUAGAGGUGAAAUUCGUAGAUAUUCGCAAGAACACCAGUGGCGAAGGCGGACUCACUGGUCCGGUACUGACGCUGAGGUGCGAAAGCGUGGGGAGCAAACAGG